AACAUCCAUUAUUUUUGUGCAGCCUCUUGAUGAAAAUGUGAAGGCAAAGCUCUCACAGUUUUCCCAACAUUUGGCACAUUCCUCCACUUCUUAGAGUAGGUGGUUUUGCUCUGUUAUUGAAUUGGGAAAUCUGGUUUAACCUCUAUCAAAUCAUUGCGAAUGUUGAACUUUUGAAUAUCCUUUUAUUUCCCUCAUGGUCAAAAGGCUCAUGAAUCUGUAUUAAAAUGCUCAACCUCUACAGAAUCCAGUACUAGAUUAAUGGACUAGGAGAGCUCAACUCUGCAGCUUGUUGUACGAGCCUGUGAGGAUAGCCAUGGUGGAAAGUACAGUGGACUUUCAGAUUCUUAUCUAUUUGUACUAAAGUUCUGUAAAUUUGCAAAACAAUCGUUGCCGUGAAGAUGUUUCGUACUAAGCAUUUCUAGGCGGAGACCAACAACAGCCCUCUCCAAAAGCAACGUGCUCAAGUGGCAUCUUAAACAAGUGGCAUUAGAAGAGGUGGAGUUAGAGGGUAAUGCCAAGGAGACUUUGGAGGUUGCGGCAGAAGAGUAAACACUUUCAGAAAUGCCUCCCUUUUAUAUGCGUGCAAGCUCUAUUAAAAUCCAUGUUAAAAUCAAUAUUAUGUAUUUGUGAAAGUUAAGUAGUACCGGAACCACGUACGCCUUUUACAAGCAACCAUUGUUUAUGCUGCAUGGCUUUAGUAUUUAUGUGUUGGGUUUUUAUUAGAGGAACAUGGAACCAAAUUUUAUGUUCCGAGGACAUAUAUAGCGCGCCAUUGACCUUUGGGAUCACUUAUGACUUGUGUAGGGGUUUCUAUAUAUGUAACCUAUAUCAAUUAAUAAGAUACAUUUCUUAUCA